GUCCCGCCCCCUUCUCCACCGGCCUGACACUGGGGAUGCUAAUAACUCGGAAGCGUCAGGCUCGGCGUAGGGUCGAAUUCUCAGGGUCUGUACGCAAGUCGAUGUGUUAGGGGUCACGGGUCAUGAGUGGUACUCGACUGAUUGAUUCUAUGAUUUGCAUGUAGUCCACGGAAUUGGAAUUAUCAGACUUGAAGAGCCCUGCCCUACCGUAACCCACUGGUAAAGGCCACCAUAAACAUGAAAGAAACCGCGCUAA